CUGUUCCCUCCCUCCCCCCAAAAAAGGCAGGGCUAGGCUGGAGUCCUUGGAGGAGCGGCCCUGGCCCCCGGCCUUUGGCGGCGGGAAAGGUCAGCAUGAGGGAGUCAUUUCUUCCCGGAGCCCCACUUGGGGCAGGGCCUUGUGCCGGCCAUUGAGGGGGUAUCCAAAGGGAGUAAGGCACAGGCGGCCCCCACACACAUCGCAGGCUAGCUGGGGAUGUCAGCUCGCGGCGUAAGCAAAUCGGACGUGGUCAGGGAAGAUGAGGGAAAGAAAGUGCUUUGAAAUCCUAUGAGGGUUACCUGUCUUCCAAGUUUGGGGGAGGCAUGUGGAGAGGCACCUACCCUGGAAGAUGGGCAGGGUGAGCAUGCUACCUUCAAGGCUUGUUCCCACACUAACAAGAGCUAUAUUGGAAGGGAAGUGGCCCUGGAUUCCAGCUGCAGACACUCUUCUUGAUCCUUGCUACCUAUUUCAGCAACAAACUUCUCCAAGGCCUCUUUUCCUUAGCUGUGCACAAUGUUCAAAUCAUCAGGAACCUAAACAGAAAAGAAACCUUUCUGAGAAAAAGCUGAAACGGUAUUUUGUGGAUCAUCGAAGAGUGUUUGUGACUGGAGGCAAUGGAGGCAAUGGGAUGAGUUGUUUUCAUAGUGAGCCCAGAAAAGAAUAUGGUGGACCUGAUGGAGGAGAUGGUGGAGAUGGUGGCCAUGUUAUUCUGAAAGUUGACAAGCACGUCCGAUCAUUAUCUUCAGUCCUUUCAGUGUAUCGGGGGUUUGAUGGAGAGCCUGGUGGAAGCAAAAACUGUUAUGGGCGUAACGGAGAUUGCCUUUACAUUAGAGUUCCCCCAGGCACUUUGGUUAAAGAGGAAAAUGAAAUUGUAGCUGAUCUUUCUCAGCCAGGUGAUGAAUAUAUUGCAGCUUUGGGGGGAGCUGGAGGAAAAGGAAAUCGUUUUUUUUUGACUAAUGACAAUCGAGCUCCACUGACUUGUACCCCUGGUCAACGGGGUCAAGAAAGAGUACUGUAUUUGGAACUGAAGACUAUGGCUCAUGCAGGAAUGGUGGGAUUCCCCAAUGCUGGAAAAUCAUCACUUCUUAGAGCAAUUUCCAAUGCAAAACCUGCUGUGGCUUCUUAUCCAUUUACUACUUUAAAUCCCCAUGUAGGUAUCGUUCACUAUGAAGGCUACGAACAAGUGGCAGUAGCUGACAUUCCUGGUAUAAUAAGAGGAGCUCAUCAAAACAGAGGCUUAGGUUUUGCUUUUCUGAGACACAUCGAGCGAUGCCGCUUUCUGUUAUUUGUGGUGGAUCUCUCGAUAGCAGAACCGUGGACUCAGCUUGAGGAUUUAAAAUAUGAACUAGAGAAAUAUGAAGAAGGCUUGUCAGAGCGACCGCAUGCAAUCAUUGGAAAUAAGAUUGACCUUCCUCAAUCUAAAGUCAAUUUUCCCCAACUUCAGGCUCGAUUAGAACAAAAGGUCAUCCCCUUGUCAGCAUUGACUGGAGAGAACCUAGAGGAAUUGCUGUUGCAUUUGAAAGAGUUGUAUGAUGAUUAUGUAGAGACUGAGGGCAAACAGGGACGGGAGCCACUGAAUUGGUAGUGAUUGAAGCUAACAAAGCAUUGAUCAUUGAAGGAAAAAAAUCCUAAAACUGUUGGAAAGUUGAAAGUGGGAAUAAGGGUGAGAACAUCAAGGGCAGUGAAAGUGAGGACUACUGCAUCAAUAAAAUACUGCUGUAUCCUGUUGAGCUGAACUCUGAAAAAGAAUCAUGGAAUGUACUUUAUGAAAUGAAUACAUCAAGCAUCCUGAGAAAAUGUUGCCUUGUGACUCAGAACUUAUAUACUUCAAGAGGAGUAUUAAUUAGUUAACGUGACACUGGACAAUAUAAUUUCUGACUUCAUUUUCAUAAUAUGAAUAUGACAAAGUAAGAAGGCUAAUAUGAUUUUCUUUGUAUGUGAAGAAUGCAUUCCUAUUCAUAAAUGUUUUGCUGGAAAUUUUGAAAGAUCUUAGUUACACUUUUGAGGGAUAGCUUGCCAAAGUCUGCUUAAUCCUAACUAGAGCAGAAAACUAUAAUUUCCUCGUAGGUGAUGACCCAAAGUCGAUUAUUAAUGAUAGCUGAGAGAAUCUUUCACUUAUAUAAUACCAUGUUAAGGCAAAUUUUAUCUAAAAAAUUACUCUUUAGUGUUUGUGUGGUUUAAUUACUAUAUAUCUACAGAUAAAUUAGCUCCCAAACAUUUUACUAUGAAUCAAGCCCGCUCAUAAUUUUUAGUGACAACAAGUUGCUAAUUGUUGUAGCAACAAGUCAUCAUUCUCAUCUACUUAUCUUCAACCUAGUUGUCUAAUAAAAUAUAAUUGGCCACUUUUUCCUUAAAUGGAAGCCACACUCAAAUGUGUGGAGACUUCCAGAGAAGUUUGUAAAGCCAUGAGAUUGGGGGCAAAGGAACAAAAAGCAGGAGCUGAUGGGAAUUUGUGAGGGAAAGGAAUAGGAUAUGGUUAUUUUGGGAAUUAAAGCACAUUGUAGAGUAAGGGAAAUAUAUGUUUUUAAAAGUGUAAAGGGGUUGCAAUUUGAUGAAAUGGGAUCCCUGAUGGUUAAGGAAAUAACAACUGUCUAGAUGUUUGGAUUAAUUUUAUUUUGUACAUACUUACUGUUAAACUUGCUUUGAAUGAUAAGCUAGCUUCAAGAGUCUCCAGAAAUGAUUUUGUUUUUGAUGUAGCUCCAUCCAUCUAUGACUAGGGAAAGUCUUGGAGUUUUAUUUUAAUGCCUUAUAAUUUCAAAGGUUUCUCUGUUUUAGAAGCUAGAGAAGGGUUUUUAUAUCCAUUUACUUUCUCUUCCUAGGUACCACAAAGGAUUUUCUUAGAGUAAAAUAAAAUAUGAGCUUAUGUUAAUUAACAUUAGCCUUUCAUCUUUACAGAAUAGGGCCCAGGCCUGCAUUUGCAAUUUGGGAAGAAAAAUAGAGCCAGCCAGGAUAACUGUGUCUCUCUUUCCUCCCUCCUGAAUGAAUGUGACUUUACCUCCCAUUGUUUAAAAUAUCUGGUUUAUUCCCCCAAAAAAUGUGUUGGUCUAUUCCAGAUUCAUUUGAUAUGCUUUGGAUUUUGUUAUAUAAUUUUCCAAUUAUCCUUUGAUGAAAUUUCACUUAGUUUCUUCUAACUAUAGACAGUGACUUCAAAUGGUUUUCCUGUUAACUCAUACUCUCUAACGAUUAGACUUAGUGAUGAAAAAUGACUUUUUCUUCCUUCUUCUGACAAUGGACACAAACAUGCCGCACUUAGAAGAGGUACAUACCUUUCUAUGAUUCUACAAAAUGAUUUUGCAUUUAAUAGUCACACAUCAAAGCAAUGGUUGGACAUUUUUAAAAGAGUGUCAGUAGCAGUGGCAGUGGCUGAAUAAAGCAGCAAUUUCCAGAAGCCACUUUACGUACUGUGGUCAAAUGCAUAGUUUAUAGGAGCAAUUACAUUGUGCUUCAACAUUGUUCUUCAUUCAGAGGAGUCAGAAAUUCGUGCUUUACUGUAGUAUGGAAAAUUCCAGACAAUCUUAUUUACUUAUGAAACUUCUGCAUCACUGCAUCAUUUUUCAUAAUUUUAAAAAUUGCUUUUCUCUAUGUGCCACCCUUGUUUAGAAACCUAAAGCUGAAAUCUGUUUUCUCAUGAAAUCAACUUCCUCUUUUUUUUAAAAAUAAAUGGUUUUUUUUCUCCACAAAUAUUAGGACAAUGCAGUUCUCUACAUAUGUUGACAUACACUUUCAUUGUAUGUAUUCCUGAAAAGCUCCCAGGUUCACAGAAAUCAGUUGUGGUGUUCAGUAAAGCCUUCAAGGCAAGCCUUAGCUAGGCAGUUUCCUUCCAACCAGGAUUCCUUAACUUCCAAUACCUGUCAGUAAGACCCAUGUUACUUUUUAGAUUUUAGACUUGGGGGAGGGAGAACCUAAGAAAAAUAGGCAUGGACCACUCUACACUUUCACUUAUG